GCCAGGUGCGGUGGUGCAUGCCUGUAAUCCCAGAGACUUGGGAGGCUGAGGCAGGAGGAUUGCGAGUUCAAAGCCAGCCUCAGCAGCAGCAAGACGCUAAGCAACUCAGUGAGAUCCUGUCUCUA
rnacentral:sRNA from 1 species